AGAGUUUGAUCAUGGCUCAGAACGAACGCUGGCGGCGUGCUUAACACAUGCAAGUCGAGUGCGCGCCUGUAGCAAUACAGGUGGCGCACGGCGCACGGGUGCGUAACACGUGGGUAAUCUGCCCUCUGAUGGGGAAUAACCCGCCGAAAGGCGGGCUAAUACCGCAUAACAUUCCUUGGAUUUCGGUCCGGGGACUCAAAGGCGUAAGUCGUCGGAGGAGGAGCCCGCGCACGAUUAGCUAGUUGGUAGGGUAAUGGCCUACCAAGGCUUUGAUCGUUAGCUGGUCUGAGAGGAUGGCCAGCCACACUGGAACUGAGACACGGUCCAGACUCCUACGGGAGGCAGCAGUGGGGAAUCUUGCACAAUGGGCGAAAGCCUGAUGCAGCGACGCCGCGUGGGGGAUGAAGCAUUUCGGUGUGUAAACCCCUUUCGAUCCGGACGAAUACCUCGCAAGAGGGGUGACGGUACGGAUAUAAGAAGCCCCGGCUAACUACGUGCCAGCAGCCGCGGUAAGACGUAGGGGGCCAGCGUUGUUCGGAAUUACUGGGUGUAAAGGGUUCGUAGGCGGUGUGGCAAGUUGGGAGUGAAAUCUCUGGGCUCAACCCAGAGGCUGCUUCCAAAACUGCUGUGCUUGAGUGUGAGAGAGGCGCGUGGAAUUGCAGGUGUAGCGGUGAAAUGCGUAGAUAUCUGCAGGAACACCCGUGGCGAAAGCGGCGCGCUGGAUCACUACUGACGCUGAGGAACGAAAGCUAGGGGAGCAAACAGGAUUAGAUACCCUAGUAGUCC
rnacentral:rRNA from 1 species